UACGGCCUCGUGUAGCCUAAGCAAAACACUAUAAUAGGAAAACGGGGGCGAGAUUUUCGUCUUUGGCGUUUGCGUUUAUUUUUGCUCUGAACAAGCAUGUCGGUUUUUAUUCAUCUAUCUAAAGCAGAGAUGCUGUAAAGAAUUUGUUUACCUGCUCAUGCGUGGAUCAAACGUACAAUUACGCACAAUGCCAGUUUCAAUACAGCAGAAGGUCGGCACGUCCUCCUUCGAGUUCCCCCCUGACUGGGAAGAUGACGAGCGGAUGGCCUUCUUGUUCUCGGCUUUCAAAGCAAACCGAGAGGUCGAUCCGAACGACUGGGACGGCAAGAUGAACUUCUGGAUGCCUCUGGUGGUGCAGAGCUGCAGACAGCGUGGGUUCGUGUGUAUGAACUUGCAGGAGCUGAACGAAAGCUUUCAGCGAAAGGGGACCGUUCCUAUGGGCCUAAGCACCGUUAUACAGGGCAUGAUCAGAAGCGGUAAAGUGCAGAAAGAGUCCGAUUUUGCUGCCAAUGUAGACUCCGGCUGGUUGUCGUGGGGCGUCGGGUUGUUGCUGGUCAGACCUCUGAAGUGGACGCUAUCCGCUCUACUGGGCAGUGGGCGAGUUCCACUCGAGGAGUCAUUUGUGGUAAUCGAAUUGGUUAAAGAGAAAGCUGCUGCACUGAUGGCUGCGUAUCGGAGCUCUCCUCUCGCAGGACGCUCUCUGCUCUCAUUUCAGGAGCUGCGCUCUUUCUCCUCUCAUAUCUGUCCUGAUGAGACCACACUGUGUCUCGCGCUGCUGCAGCUCCAGAGGGAGAAAUAUGUCACCGUCUCGCUCCAUGAGGGGGAAAAGCUGGUGAAGUUCAGUCAGGCAGGACAGGGCCGUGUGUCUCCGGUCAGUGAGGUGGAGCUGGGAAUCUACCAGCUCCAGCGUAGCAAGAAGCUGCUGGAAGAGAGAGUUGAGGCUCUGGGGCAAGAAGUGGAGAAAUGUAAAGAACAGGCAAAGACUCUGCUAAAAGAGGGGAAGAAGUCUCAGGCAUUAAGAUGUCUAAGGGGUAAGAAGCGUGUCGAGGGCAAAGCCGAUCGGCUGUACGUUCAACUCGAAACAGUGAAAGGAAUCCUGGACAGGAUAGCGAGCUCACAGACUGAUCGUCUGGUGAUGCAGGCAUACCAGGCAGGUGUAGCAGCUCUGAGGAUUUCACUGAAGGGCAUAACUGUUGAGAGAGCAGAGAACCUGGUUGAUCAGAUUCAGGAGCUGUGUGACACUCAGGAUGAAGUUAACCAGACUCUGGCUGGAGGAGCUUUAGACUCAACCGAAGGAGAAUCCGAAGAGCUGGAGGAGGAGCUGAAGUCGUUACUGGAGGACGGCGCUCCAGACACGAGUCUAACGCUACCAGAGAUUCCACAACACCCUGUCUCCACUAAAAACACCAGUGUAUUAGAUGAUGCUUUCUUUCACUCUCUGCCCUCUGUGCCUGACACUAACAUCACCGACGAGGAGCUGGAGAGAGAGCUGGGUCGACUCAGCCUUCCAUCCAUCCAUCUUCUAUACCAGCUUUAUUCCUAAUUAGGGUCACAGGGAUCUGCUGGAGCCUAUCCCAGCACACAUUGGGCGAAAGGCAGGGGUACACCCUGGACAGGAAGGCAAUGUAAAAGAUGGACGGACGAAUGGAAGGACAGAUAUAUAUACGAGACAAAGAUUCCUGACACAGCACAAUGAACACGGCUCCCGCAAAUAAUUAGAUAGGCUUGUUGCUGAAUACACAGAAGGCAAUCUAAUAGCCUAUGUAAUUUUUUUCUUCCUUUCUUUGCCUUUCUUUGUUUGUAAUGGCAUGUUUGUGAUUUUCUUUUUAAAAAAAGAGAAACAUUUUAAAAGAGUGGCCUUUGGAGUAAUAUGUAAUAUGUAUUCUAAUAAAAAUGACAUUAUGAUGCUUAAUAAGA